CACGGUGUGUGAGUGUGUGUGAGGGAGAGAGGAGGUCUGUUUCUGUCUUUGGUUAUCUAGCUGUAUGAGUGUUAAAUACCUGUCAUAAAGCUAGAUAACCGAAAGUAGAAAUGGCUUCCAAUUUACUCACGCUUUACUGAGAGAAGAGACGGAUUUUAACCUUCGCCUCAAACAGGCCUCUGAUUAACGACGCUGAAUGAUCGAAGAUUCCUGAAAAGAGGGUAGAACCACAAUUAAAAGAAAACGAGGAGAGAAAAACGGUUGGUCCGGAAUUGCCACCUCCCCCCACCACUCCUCAUCCUUUUUACCCAAGAGCCUCUAAUGCCAUCUGUACUGCCAACGGGGGGACGCUUCGCCCAUGCCAGGAGGCGGACAAAGACCCCGCCGGAUCCUUGGAGUAUGGGCGCGCUCGGAGGAGCCAUCUUGGGAGAUGUUGCUGUGACACCUAAAAUGGCUGGGCUGGCAUACGAGGAUGGGACAGGAUCUGCAAGCCCUUCUGCGCUCUGUAGGGACCUGCUUUUGCUCCAGGAGGUCGUGGACCAAACUCAUCAGCAGAGACGACAAAAC